rnacentral:lncRNA from 1 species
UCUGGUACCUAAACUCAACGCUCACGUCUUUCACCAUCGCCAGCCUCUCAAUCUCUCCAACGACGGCCUCUCUCCCGCUCUCCUCGAUCCAUAGAACGCCGAAGUCCGUCGGAUACUUCGCCGCCGGGUUAUCCCUCUCGAUCCACCCCCAACCGCCGGAUCGGACCUCCGAUUCGAGGUAAAUCCGAUGAGUUUCCGCCGGCUUGUAGUGCUUGAAUCGGAUUAUGUAGUUUGUGUGCGUCGCAGUCUCGGAUUCGGAGCGAGUUGCGUUCUGCGGGUUGAGACGGAGCCGCCAGAAGAGGAAAACGGAGAGGAGAACGACGAGGAUGUAGGAUCUGCAAGCGGAUGAAGAAGCUUCUGCGAGGAGCAUCUUCAUGGCGAUGGUUGGAUUAGGGUUUGAUGGCGAGAUUCGCUGACGCACAUGCCGUCGCUGGAAAAAGUGCAUCACUCCUAUGGUAGUUUUGAUGUUCUGGUCGCUGCACAAUGAUGAACCAUUAGCUUUAAACACUGCUACUCUUUAUCUAAAAUCUUCUAUGGUUUUAUUCAACCUUGAUGUUACGGAAAUGAGGAUGGUCAGCUCUAAUUCCAGUAUCAAAUAUAGCCAUUUUGACUUUAGCACCAGUGUACCCUUUCUUCCAGAGAACAUCUGCUCCAAACAUGGACGUCACUUGAGUCUUCUGAAACAUUAAACAAAAGUGUAACUCGUAAAAAGAAACUCACUUUCAAUUUACGAAUGCUACACUAUUAUAGUCACAUUAAGUGAGCAAACAAAAAAGCAGAUAUUAAUAUAUAACUUUGACAAUCUCUCUCACUUGAGCAAGAAGACGCCGUGACGUGGCGUUACUAGGAGCCGCCUUGGCAGAGUGAUCAGCACCUCCUUCGAAAGACAUGGAAGUGAAGAUCUUCCCCGGACGCUUCUCCCCGUCGAGAAAAGAUCCUCCCAGCAAAACUCUCUGGUACCUAAACUCAACGCUCACGUCUUUCACCAUCGCCAGCCUCUCAAUCUCUCCAACGACGGCCUCUCUCCCGCUCUCCUCGAUCCAUAGAACGCCGAAGUCCGUCGGAUACUUCGCCGCCGGGUUAUCCCUCUCGAUCCACCCCCAACCGCCGGAUCGGACCUCCGAUUCGAGGUAAAUCCGAUGAGUUUCCGCCGGCUUGUAGUGCUUGAAUCGGAUUAUGUAGUUUGUGUGCGUCGCAGUCUCGGAUUCGGAGCGAGUUGCGUUCUGCGGGUUGAGACGGAGCCGCC